CAUCGCCACCGGCACCGCCAUGGCCUUCCCCGUCCUCAUCCUCCUCCUCGCGGCCUCCGUCCCAGGUCUGCGGGCGGCCGUGACGCUGGAGGAGACCGAAGGCGGCCUCCAAAGCCCCGGGGGCUCCAUGAGGCUCCUCUGCAAGGCCUCGGGCUUCACCUUCGGCAGCUACGGCAUGGGAUGGAUGCGCCAAGCACCGGGGCAGGGGCUCCAAUGGGUCGCAAGCAUCAACAGCAAUGGUGGUAGCACCUGGUACGCGCCGUCGGUGCAGGGCCGAGCCACCAUCACCAUGGACAGCUCCCAGGGCACGGUCACGCUGCAGAUGAGCGGCCUCGCGGCGCAGGACGCGGCCACUUACUACUGCGUGAAGAGGCGUUGGCUUCUUCGCAUUGUGGUCUUCCUGCUUGGAUUGACUUCUGGGGCAGCGGCACCGUCGUCACCGUCUCCUCCGGUAAGUCCUCUGCCCCCUCCCUCUUGCCCCUCUCCCCCUGCUCUUCCUCCUCCUCCUCCUCCUCCUCCCUGUUCUCCGUCGCCUGCGUGGCCGUGGGGUCCGUGCCCCCCGGCGCCGCCAUCGCCUGGCGCGACCGCCACGACCGGACCCACAGCGCCACCGGGGCCUUCCGGGGGGCGCCCCACGGCUCCGGCGCCGCCUCCCUCCUGGUCAUGGAGGGCACCGAGGGCCGGGCCCUGCAGCCCUUCCAGUGCCGCCUGGGCAGCGCCAGCGCCAACGUCACCAACCCCGGCUCCACGUCCCCGUCCGCCCCCUUUGUCCCCACCAUCACCCUGUACCCCCCAUCCCGCGAGGACUUCCAGGGCCCCUACCGCAACGCCACCCUCCUGUGCCACGUCCAAGGCCUCCCCUCGCCCCCCAUCCGCUGGCUCCGGAACGGCCUGGACCUCCUCGACGCCGCCGGUGCCGGCGCCGCCAUCACCGAGACCUUGGCCAACGGCCGCCUCGGCGUCACCAACAGCCUCCUGGUGGUCACCGAGGCCGAGUGGGCCUCCGGGGACAUCUUCACGUGCCAGGUGGGGGACGAGAUGAGGAACAUCAGCAAGGCUCUGGAGUGCGGAUACGACGCCCCCAGUGAGGACAUCACCGUGAAGGUGACGCCGCCGCUCUUCAUGGACAUCUUCAAGGAGAAGGUGGCCAAGCUCUCGUGCCAGGUCCUCAACGUGCCCUCCAUGGACGGCCUGGACGUGUCCUGGUGGAAGGAGGACGGCACCGAGCUCGACACCAAGAGGCUGCCCCACGUCCUGGAGGCCAACGGGCUCUUCAGCGCCAUGGCCGUGGCCAACGUCCGCACCACCGAGUGGGACAGGGGGGACAUCUUCACCUGCAGGGUCACCCACCCCGAGCUGCUCUUCCCUGCCCAGGCCACCCUGCGGAAGGCAGCCGCGAGCGACGCCAAGGCGCCGUCCGUCUUCGUGUUCCCACCUCCCUCCGAGCAGCUUUCCAUGCGGGAAUCGGCCACCAUCACGUGCCUGGUGACGGGCUUCAACCCCCCGGACCUCUUCAUCCAAUGGCUCCGCAACGGGGAUCCGUUCCCGCUGCCGACUACGUGACGUUGCCGCCGACGCCGGAAUCGCGCCCGCGUCCGCCCGCGUCCCGAGCCCAUCCUGCCCCUUCCUACUUCACCUACAGCGCCCUGACGGUGCCGGGAGAGGAUUGGUCCAGGGGGAACAUCUUCACGUGCGUGGUGGGGCACGAGCGCAUCCCCAUGCAGGUGAUGCAGAGAUCCGUGGAUAAAGCCUCCGAGCUCGCCAAGGGGGAGGAGGAGGAGGAGGAAGAGGAAGACCUCGAGAACCUUUGGGCCACGGCCUCGACCUUCAUCGUCCUCUUCAUCCUCAGCCUCUUCUACAGCGCCACUGUCACCUUGAUCAAGGUGAAAUAACCCCAUUCCGAUGGAAUUCCACCUCUCAUCCCCUCCAGUGCUGGAUAUCGAUGGAAUUCUGUGGGAUUCUUCUCCUUUUCCUCCCUGUUGUAAAUAGUUUCCUCCUAAUAAAUAAAGUUUUCCACAUUUU